rnacentral:rRNA from 1 species
UGCAAGUCGAACGGAAAGGUCUCUUCGGAGAUACUCGAGUGGCGAACGGGUGAGUAACACGUGGGUGAUCUGCCCUGCACUUCGGGAUAAGCCUGGGAAACUGGGUCUAAUACCGGAUAGGACCACGGGAUGCAUGUCUUGUGGUGGAAAGCGCUUUAGCGGUGUGGGAUGAGCCCGCGGCCUAUCAGCUUGUUGGUGGGGUGACGGCCUACCAAGGCGACGACGGGUAGCCGGCCUGAGAGGGUGUCCGGCCACACUGGGACUGAGAUACGGCCCAGACUCCUACGGGAGGCAGCAGUGGGGAAUAUUGCACAAUGGGCGCAAGCCUGAUGCAGCGACGCCGCGUGGGGGAUGACGGCCUUCGGGUUGUAAACCUCUUUCACCAUCGACGAAGGUCCGGGUUCUCUCGGAUUGACGGUAGGUGGAGAAGAAGCACCGGCCAACUACGUGCCAGCAGCCGCGGUAAUACGUAGGGUGCGAGCGUUGUCCGGAAUUACUGGGCGUAAAGAGCUCGUAGGUGGUUUGUCGCGUUGUUCGUGAAAUCUCACGGCUUAACUGUGAGCGUGCGGGCGAUACGGGC